rnacentral:rRNA from 1 species
ACGCACGCUGGCGGCGUGCCUAAUACCUGCCAGUCGAGCGAGCGAAACUAACAGAUUUACUUCGGUAAUGACGUUAGGAAAGCGAGCGGCGGAUGGGUGAGUAACACGUGGGGAACCUGCCCCAUAGUCUGGGAUACCACUUGGAAACAGGUGCUAAUACCGGAUAAGAAAGCAGAUCGCAUGAUCAGCUUUUAAAAGGCGGCGUAAGCUGUCGCUAUGGGAUGGCCCCGCGGUGCAUUAGCUAGUUGGUAAGGUAAAGGCUUACCAAGGCGAUGAUGCAUAGCCGAGUUGAGAGACUGAUCGGCCACAUUGGGACUGAGACACGGCCCAAACUCCUACGGGAGGCAGCAGUAGGGAAUCUUCCACAAUGGACGCAAGUCUGAUGGAGCAACGCCGCGUGAGUGAAGAAGGUUUUCGGAUCGUAAAGCUCUGUUGUUGGUGAAGAAGGAUAGAGGUAGUAACUGGCCUUUAUUUGACGGUAAUCAACCAGAAAGUCACGGCUAACUACGUG